UGGGGAAUCUUCCGCAAUGGGCGAAAGCCUGACUGAGCAAUCUCGCGUGAGGGAUGACUGCCUAUGGCUUGUAAACCUCUUUUCUCAGGGAGGAAUAAAUGACGUUACCUGAAGAAUAAGCAUCGGCUAACUCCGUGCCAGCAGCCGCGGUAAUACGGAGGAUGCAAGUGUUAUCCGGAAUCACUGGGCGUAAAGCGUCUGUAGGUGGUUUAAUAAGUCAACUGUUAAAUCAUGAGGCUCAACCUCAAAAUCGCAGUCGAAACUAUUAGACUAGAGUAUAGUAGGGGUAAAGGGAAUUUCCAGUGGAGCGGUGAAAUGCGUAGAGAUUGGAAAGAACACCGAUGGCGAAGGCACUUUACUGGGCUAUUACUGACACUCAGAGACGAAAGCUAGGGUAGCAAAUGGGAUUAGAUACCCCAGUAGUCCUAGCUGUAAACAAUGGAUACUAGAUGUUGAACAGAUCGACCUGUGCAGUAUCAAAGCUAACGCGUUAAGUAUCCCGCCUGGGAAGUAUGCUCGCAAGAGGU
rnacentral:rRNA from 1 species